UGCACUCUGGGACAAGCCCUGGCAAACGGGGUCUAAUACCGGAUACGAGCCUCCCGGGCAUCUGGGAGGUUGGAAAGCUCCGGCGGUGCAUGAUGAGCCCGCGGCCUAUCAGCUUGUUGGUGAGGUAACGGCUCACCAAGGCGACGACGGGUAGCCGGCCUGAGAGGGCGACCGGCCACACUGGGACUGAGACACGGCCCAGACUCCUACGGGAGGCAGCAGUGGGGAAUAUUGCACAAUGGGCGAAAGCCUGAUGCAGCGACCCCGCGUGAGGGAUGACGGCCUUCGGGUUGUAAACCUCUUUCAGCAGGGAAGAAGCGAGAGUGACGGUACCUGC
rnacentral:rRNA from 1 species